rnacentral:lncRNA from 1 species
AUGGGAGUUCAGCAAAGCAACAGUUCCCAUUUGGGAAAAUUUCAGUGGCAAUGCAGAGCAUCUUCAACACUCAAAAACCUACCACCCCCUCUCCCUCAGAGAAGGAAAACUGCUGGUGAAAAAGGAAAAAGCGGGGUAGGGAAGAGGUCAGCAAGGCAGAAACCCUUCCCGAGGAGGCACGUCUCUGUGGGGUGGGAGAAACCUCUGGGCAGAGUCGGAGACCCCAAAAGGGGCUUUGCACCGCAGCUGCCUGCGGGGCUCUCGGCCAGCAUCGCCUCCGUGCCAGCUCCAUUCCUGGGUGUGGGGAUCGGGGCUCCAGGGGUCACGGGCGCAACGGGGACCCUGGGGGAAAGCAGGGGCCGUGCAACCCUUCCCUGUUAUGGGAGCGCAUGGAUUCACGCGUGUUCACACGCGUGGCAGCCCAGGCUGGGCUUGGGAAGGAGAGGCCGGUCGGCGAUGCCCACAGGGACACGUAUGCUAGCGUAUGUGCCUGCAGGCGCCGGGGAGCGCGGCGCUGGCGCGUGGGCGCGCGCGGAGGCGGCGGGCGGGCGAGCCAGCCGUGCACGUGUGUGCGCGCUCGUGCCCGAGCCUCGGGCUUCCCGCGUGGCGGGCGCCCACCUGCGAGGCGCUUUCUCUUGCCUCCCUCGGCAGGCGCUUGCGAGCCGGCUCCUCGCUGCGGGCGCUGACAAAGCCCGUCAGUCCGGAGCCGCUGCUGGCGGCAAGCAGCGCGUGAGCUGCAGCGUCUCCCCGUGCCACCCGGGAACUGCGGCGGAGGGGCAGCACGGCCGCAGAAAAGUGCUUCCUGCCACAACGGGCACCACCUGGGGAGGUACCAGGGUGGAGAUGACGCGGGGCAUCUGGGGCAGCGAACAAAGCGCCCCGUCACGUGGGAUUUGGAUGAGAAGAGAGGGGACCCCAAGGGAGAAGCAGGGAGAGGGGGCAUUUUGGGGACAGCGCAUACUCCCGGGACAUAGGUCACACAAAAGCAUCACCUUCACCCAAAACCAGGUGCCGGCAGGCCUGGCUUGCUUGCCCAAGGAGACAAAUUGUCCUCCACCAUCCUCCACCAGUGAUGGUCUCCACCAUCAUUGA